CACGAAAGUCAACGAUGGCGGCCAUGGAGAUUGAGAAACCAGACGCCAGUGGUGUGACCACUUCGGCUCAAUAUCCAGAAACGUGGUUGUAAAUCUGUGUUUGCCCCGAGAGACGGAGCUAGCUGCUUAUAAAACUCAACUUCAGACGUGCUGAGAGUCUAUAUGCAUCAGGUUGGCAAUAAAGAGUGAAGCUAUCGCAGGAUCCUGGGCGCCGACCUGUCAUUGCUCACGGUUUUCCUGAGGCGCACUCCUCUGCGGAUGGACUUCAGCAUGUCCUCUCCCUUUUCUGUGGGCGGAGGGUCCUCCUGGUGGCCGUGGCUAGCCUGGGGAUCCGUGGGGAACGGGUAUUGACCUUCUCCCAGGGCAUGAGCGUUGGCCACAAGCUCUCCAAUUUUCUCCACCAGGCUGUGGCGGUUAGCAGCCAGAAUCUGCUCCUCUGUGCUGAGGGCCAUAGCUCCGGACUGCUGGGAGUACACGCUCAUGCUUGAGCCCCAAGCAGAGUUAGGCAGACUCAUCCGUUUGGGAGAGGCUUUGUACUCCAGGAUCUCCAACGAAUCUUCACUGUACAGGCUCUCCUCACUGCCAUUGUGCUCUGGUGGAGGACUGGGGAAACCAGGGGAGUCUGGGACAGUAGGGGUCUUCACUGGAACAAUGGGAGGCCGGAUAGGAAUCGGGCCCACGUUGGAUGGGACACGUCUCACACCAGUUUUGGAGGACGGGGUCCUGCGGAUGGUGGCCGUUCCAGAAGAAAUUACUGUUCCUCCUGAUGUUCCUUUGCCAUUGGAAGCAGAGGAACCCUGGGCGCCUACACCUCCAGGAAGCCCCGCAGUGCUCGCAGGCCUCUUGGUCUGGAUCAUGCGACGGUAGUUCUGGGCCAGGUUGCUGUGCCGAGGGACGGUGGAGGAUUUAUCAAAGUCCGUCUGAGCAUCACUUUCGCCGUCUCCGUUCAUAGAGUAGCAGUCAUAGUCAGAACCUGCAGAAAGAAAUCAAGGUUUUACAGAGCAGCAGUGUCGCCCCCUCCUUGCUAGUGAACCGAGGGUCCUUCGAUCACCUAUGAGAGCUGGCAGACUGCAGGUCUCCUAAGGACAGUUAUCAGGUAAGCUUAUUUAUGUUACAAUUAAUUAUUAAUACACAAUGUGAUGGUCAGGCCUACUGACAUCAAAUAGACCAACACAAAGUAUCACAUACCUGUGGAAUGAAAAUGAUACAUGGUUUUACACGCUUUAAUCAAAUGUCCAAAUCUGAAAAAUGUGACAUGCAGCCCACUAUAUAUGAAUACUUAGUAGAGACACCUUUUACUGCAAUUACAGCUGCAAGUCUUUUGAGCUAUGUCUACCAGCUUUGCGCAUCUAUAGAGACUGAGAUUUAGGCCUACUCUUCUUUGCAAAAUAGCUCAAGUUCAGCCAGUUCAGGUGGGGAGCAUCUGUGAACAGAAAUUAUGUCUUGCCACAGACUGGGUUAUUAUCUUGCUAGAAUGUAAAUCCCCCAGUCUCAGGUAUUUUGCAUGUGUUCUUCCAUGAUUGCGCUUUGUUUAGCCCCAUCUAUGUUCCCCAUUAACUCUGACCAGCUUCCUUUUAAUUUGCUACUUUGUGUUGGUCGAUCACUUAGAAACCCAAUAAAACGCAUUCCAGUUUGUGAUUUUUAUAUAUAUAUAUAAAGUUCAUGGAGUAUGAAUACUUUUGCAAGCCACUGUAGAUGGUUGCUAUGGCGGUUGCUAUAGCAAUGCCAUGGGGGUUGCGAUGAUAUCCCACAUAGUUAUGGUUUUUAGAGAGCAACCACUGUGCAGAGAGUGUUGAUAAAACUGCUGGAGUGGUUACUAUGGUAAUGCUAUAUGGUUGCUAAAGGAUUGAUAUGGGACUACUUUCUGGUUGCAUAAAGGUCUCACAUUCCAGCUAUGAUGAUAAGCUUUUCUUAGGGGUGGCUAUGAGAUUGCUGGACAGGUAAUAUAGGACAACUUUACUGAUCACAUACUUCUGCCUUACAUUCCUCUAAAUGGGGAAUGUGUGUAUUGAAGUUACCGUGUGAGGGAAUGGUGUCCUCAGAGCAGGAUGGUGUAGUAUUUUGUGUGCUGUAUCCACUGGAGUACUGCAGUGAGUCACAGCUGUUCUUCUGCUGCUCCAGACUUAAACCACGUGUGAGAACCAUUGCCAGCUCACUGGCUGCAGAUGUUGUCAGCUUUCCAUGCUGAGCGAAAAAGGGAGAAAUUAAUUAAUCACACAUAAAAUAGAAGUUCAAAGUUCAGAAAAAAAACUGCUUAAAACCUAUUAUAAAUUUGAAUUAGAGUUUUGAGACUGCUGAUUUUCUGACUUACUACACAUUUAUAAAAGGAAUAUGUACUGUCAUUUGAUAAGGAGAAUUUUAAAAAUAUGCUCACGUACAGGCCUAAGAUUUAAAGAGUUAGCUUGUGAAUGUAAGUGAAUGUAAAACAAUUUGAUUCCUGGUCAUUUUGGAGCAUUUCUAUUGGUCUACUCAUUGAAAACUUGGACACAGUAAAUGGUUAAAUUCAGAUUGUCAAAAGAACUGACAAAAACUGACAAAAAACUGACACCUUUUUUUUAAGUGAUACUUUGCAUUAAUAUUAUUUCAACUUAAUCCUACCUUUCAAAAGUUAUUUGCCCUAUGUUAAGAUCAGGUUGUACUGCAGUAUGUUUGUUUAUGUAAUUGUUUUUCAUACUAUUUCUACUGUACUGUGAUUGCAGAUGCAGAGUGUGGGCAUUUUAUCUCAAUCAGCUUCAGUCAGCUUAUUUGUUUUCAUACCUGAUUAUUUUGCAUCAUAAAAAACUCCACAUUCCACUGGUACAUUUGUUGUGAAUUGUGUUUGUUUUGUCACUUCUUGAUGUGUUUAAUUUAUUUACCUUUCCACUGAUGUUUGCAGGGCCCGCUCUGGUCCUGUAAGGGUCCUCAGCGUGCACGACACCGUUCCCCCUCGGUCCACCAGGGGGCUCUGCAGCCUCCAUUUUGCGCUGUAGAGCCGCUCCGGCCUGCUCAUAGUGAGCUGCUUUAGACCAGUCCUGCUGUGGGAACGAAACAGAAGCAUUUAUAAACCCACUGCAGUGAAAACAAAUAGCAGAUGGGUAUGCCUGUGAGCGGUUUCAGAAACAGCGAGGUUAAACAGUGCCAAAAGGGUGACCGUAAGUAAUUAAAUGAAAAGAUAAGCAUGAAACCAGAUUAAAUAAACAGUGUAAAUAAUAGCAAAACAGAACACAAGAAGCUAAAUGAAAUGUGACCGAUUGGUCAAAAUGAAAACAAACCUUCCAGUGAGGAACUUUUGAUGUGGGUGAGGGAGAAUUUGAUCCAGGGGAAUGGUUAAAGGAUGGGGACGCAGGAGCUAUGAAAGAGAGAGGCCUGAUGGAGCCGUUAUAUGUGUGAGCAGGGCGGAAAGUAGCGAAGGAUGAGCCAAACUGUGGAGACGGAAUGACAUUUGGUCAGAUGAUCAGAAUAUGUUUGUGGAGGACAGACUCCACUGAGCUCUAUGAGGCAGCAGAACAGAAGCAAAAUCAUGAAACUAAGACAUAAAGCUUAAACUAAGUCUGAAACUGAGAGUUUCAAAAAUAAAAAAAGCAAAAUGAAAGCAAAAAUCCAAAAGUAUGAGUGCAGUUUGACAUGGGUUAUUCAUUGUUAGAUACUAAAAUGGGAAAAAAGUCCAUGUUAUAGGCUCCAAUACUCACAGCUGUAGGCGAUCCGCAUUCACUGACAGACUGGCAGGUCUCAGAUGCUUCAGAGGAUGCAGAACUGGAUGACUUCUGAAGAGAAAAUUCCAGUGAUGAGAGAAAUUAAAAAGUGUCUUAAAAAUACACUUUGGGAUUUUAUUUCUAACCAUAUAGGAUCACUUAAUUGUAAUUAUAGAUGUUUCUCCUUAUACUUUGUCCUUCCUUUAAUCCCACAGGACCACCAGCGCUGUGAUGCUGGAGUUUUUAAAUACCUCAGUGCCACUGCUAGACUGAGAAUAGUUCAACACGCACAAAUAUCCAACAGAUGAGAUUAUGUCUCUGACUUUACACCAGCAAGGUAGGAGCAUCUACUAGAGAGGACAGUGAGUAAACAGUGUUUAAACUCCAGCUCCACUGUUGUGCCUGAUCCACUCGUACAACACAUACUGACCACCACCGUGUCAGUGUCACUACAGUGCUAAAAUUGACCCAUCACCCAAAUAAUAGCUGCUCUGUGGUGGUCUAUCUAGUGGGGUCCUGACUAUUAAAGAGGAGGAUAAAAGGAGGAUAAUAAAUUAUGCAGAGAAACAGAAGGACUACAGACAAGUGCCCCAAUAUGCAUAUAAACAAAAAGUUGUUAUAAUAUUCUGAAUUGACUGUGUAGGUAUGAAAAUGGUAUGCUGACCAUGUUAUUCUAAACAGAUUGCUGUUAUUAUUCAAUGCUAAUCACCUGGCUGGUGAUGUCAGAUGGCAUUGGAGAAGGAGGUUUAGAGUGCAUGUUGGCAUCUUGAGAGAUGAAUCCGGAGUCAUGAGAAGAGACGCUGCUCAGGCGAUGAGCACCACCUGGUGGCAGAUGCACCAAACUAAAACACAAGAGAUUAAAGGGUUAGAGCUUUCUGUAAAUGGAGUCGUUUUAACCCUAAAGACUUUGUUUUUAAUGAUCCAGUCUUUUAAGUAACAAAGGCAGUACCUUUAGUAACUAUGAUGCAUUACAUUCUGAUGGGGCUUCAUGAUAUUGGGGAAAAAAAAAAUUAUUGCGUUGCCAUUAUUAUGCUGUGAAAAAUAUAGCAAUAUUUCUUCAGAUCUUCUUUUAAGCUCCCUGCAGAGGACAAGUGUACACAUGCACUUCUGGACGAGCUGUGAGUUUCAGAACCAUCACUGCAUGUAAAAGAAACGUGGACUGAGACGGUAGACUAAAAUUUCUAGAUUUUACACAGAUGACCGGAGUUAAGCAGUGUUGUGCAGAUACAGUCCACAACUAACUGUGGUAUGACUGGUUAUAUCAGAUAGAAAAAGUGCAACGUCCAGGAAUAUUCCAAUCCCGAGAUUAUAUUUAAUUUAAUUCAAUUUUAAGGUUUCAGGAGUUAUCUUAAUAUUAAGACCUAAUAAGAUGUAAUAAAUCAUUAUUCAAUCUUGCUGUAGGUUAUGUAUGGCAAUCUAAUUUUGUCAUUUAAUUUUUAAUUAUCUUUUUAGUGGCAUUGUUCAGUGCGACCAGGAUCUUCACUGUCAUAUGGAGGCUGCAGGAAGCUGAUGAAGGUGCAAUAGCGCCCCCUUUCUUCGAGGAGGGCUCGACGCACAGCCUGUUUCUCUGUCUCCUCCAUCAACAGAUACAUAUCGCUUACAUCCUGCAUAGCACUGUCCAGCUGGGGCUGCAGCCCACCUCGACCUGAGAGAAAGAGAGAGAGACAAAAAGGAAGUCAUAAUCAGUGCAUUAUGGAGCACUAAUUCAGUCAUCAUGCACUGACAGAUGUAACAUGAGCUGCCCAAUCAGGCGACAGUUAUGACAGACGAGAACACAUGAGAUGUUCGGAGAGGAUGUCAGCACAGAUGUUCCACAUGAGGUCACUAUCUGAUGAAAACAGAUUAUGGUGCAGAAUGUCAGUGGCGACAGAACACUGUCUGCACUUCCAUGCAGGAAACACCUUCACUAAUAGAUGAAAUCAGGACAGUUACAUGGACAAUGAGAUACAAAUGGAUGGGCCUAUACAAACACAGUCUUUAGAAGAUCCCACAAUUCCCUAUUGUUGGAUAUUUUCAUAAAAUGUAAGCAUGUUGUGUCUUAUAUGGAGAAUAGUAAUGUGUAUGCAUUGGAGACAUGCAGGAAAUAAUGAAUUCCAGAGUUGACAUAUUGCAGAAAUUAAGCUAGAGGGAGGGAUAAAAUCGCUCGAGUGACAUGAAAUAGAGUCUAGUCUAGUGCAGAAGCGAGUGUGGUGAGGUAAGAAGCUACUGUUUAAAUACAUACCUGGGAGCUCUAAAGUUUAUAGGGUGCACAGGUCAAGCAAGCAAGAGCGAAAGAGGGAGGGGGAGAGGGAAAAAAAGACAGGAGGAGGGACAGCUUUAGUGAAAAGACUGCAACAGCAAAGAGGGAUUCAAGCGAAUGCAAUUGCAAGAAAAUUUGUGUACUGGACAAAGCUUAAGUACAUGUUGCACUGUUAAAAAAAGGCAGAUAAACUUUACAAUGAAAGGUCUACUAAUUACAGGUCAUGUUUGAGUAAACUUCUAUAAGUUUUCUGAUUUUUAAAUUCCAAUUCUCAGUGUGCUUAACAUUGAUCCUCGAAACUAUCAGUAAAAUCAGCUGCAGCUUUUGUAUUUUUUAUGUUGUUCCUUUUUAAUUUGUUUACCGUUUAUUGCCAUCUGCAUGUUUUUCAUUUCUUCUAUCCCAUGGAGGACGGCCUAUUCUUUAAAUCCUGAUGGUGUUGAGGUUCAAACAUAUAACCUCCCAUCUUACAUGCAGGCAGUAAGACAGUUGUGCCACCCUAAAGCUGUGAAGUCAUAUACACAUUUCUGUGUCCAAGAAAAAAAUGCAAAGGUAAAUUUACACAACUGCGUUGUUGUAUAAAGGUGCUUCACAGCUCUAGAGUGGCCAUACAGUCUAAAUGCAGCUCAUCAAGUGUGAGGAAAUUACAAGUUUAAAUUCCAGCAAGUCCUCCAUUGUCAAAAGCUUCACAGUCUGGGGGCAGGGAGUUCUUAUUUCAGCUGCAGCUUAUUAUAUUAAUGUCUGAGGCAGAUUGAAAUUUACACAUUGAAGUAUUCACAUGCAGUUUUACAUUACAUGUGCAUGUGUUUAGUGUUUAUCCUGAUAGGCCCAGUAUGUAUGCCCACACUUCGAACAUUAACUCUUAUACAACAGUACUCUAAAUAUUACCAUGAAUUUAAAAGGCUCUACAAUAGAAUCACGUGAAACGCCACAAUAUAUGACAAGCAAAUUCAUUACCAAGUAAUUCACAAAAUUUUAAUUAUUAGCUGAAUAAUGGAACCUAGGGUUUAAGGAGAUGCCAUGUAGACAAUGUAGUUCUCUACGCUGCAAUUUUUUUUGUUUUCUCCUCUCUCAAGCUUUGUGUAACAUCUCAGUAGUCUGCAUUGACCAAAAACAACAAUUAAAUGUGGAAAGACUGUG